rnacentral:rRNA from 1 species
AUUGAACGCUGGCGGCAUGCCUUACACAUGCAAGUCGAACGGCAGCACGGGAGCAAUCCUGGUGGCGAGUGGCGAACGGGUGAGUAAUAUAUCGGAACGUGCCCGGUCGUGGGAUAACGUAGCGAAAGCUACGCUAAUACCGCAUACGAUCUACGGAUGAAAGCGGGGGAUCGCAAGACCUCGCGCGAUUGGAGCGGCCGAUAUCAGAUUAGGUAGUUGGUGAGGUAAAGGCUCACCAAGCCGACGAUCUGUAGCUGGUCUGAGAGGACGACCAGCCACACUGGGACUGAGACACGGCCCAGACUCCUACGGGAGGCAGCAGUGGGGAAUUUUGGACAAUGGGCGCAAGCCUGAUCCAGCAAUGCCGCGUGCAGGAUGAAGGCCUUCGGUUGUAAACUGCUUUGUACGGUAACGAAACGGUAGAGCUCUAAUACA